rnacentral:lncRNA from 1 species
AUGCAUACCCCCAAAAAAGAAAUGUAACAAGAUGCUUAAAUUGCUGACUGUUGUGUGUGAUAUCGAUUGGGCUCAUUGAUGCUGCAUUAUCUAAGACUAAAUUGGCAUCAACUUUUUUUCCCUCUGACUCCUGAAGAUUUUGUGUUCUUUUUAAUUGUUGGAGGAAGGUCAGCACAAAGUGUACCCUCUGGCUUUUAAUCUUAGAAAUGUCCUAAAUGAACAGAAAACUGCACGUCAGCGAAAUGAACUCUUGCUGAAAGCAAUGUGUAGGCUUCUCAUGUUUUGCGUUUGUGAUGACACAAGCUUUGACCUUGGCAUGUAUCUUUUUGAAAGAAGAAUCACAUUUGUUCCCUUCAGCCUAAUAGCAAUGUUGAUGGCAGAAACUGUGCACUUGCAUGAACAGCAGCUCCUGACCUACUGCAAUUAGUAGCCCUGGUUGAAGAAAGGCUUUAAUAUUGAAGUGCUGUUCUCUUGUAAUAUCUCAGCGUAAGGUUCCCAGCUUCUGUCUUUCUGCAGUCAAAAUGGAAGUGCAGCAGCAGUAUGCUCCUCUCUUUCUCAGUCACUGAGAUGGCCAUGCCUGUUUCCCUGGAAAUAGCACUGAAGCUGAGGCCCUGCAGAUCAGCUCCUGUGUGCUCUGAUCUGAACCUGCCGACCCCAGCCAGAAUUCACCGUGCCAGAUCUUUGGUCACAUCACCUGACACCAGGCUCCUCAGAUGGAUUGGCUGCAAUGGUAAUCAAGAGAAGAAGACCAUAAUAUUAUCCACAUGAAAUCUGGGGAAAGAGAAAAGGUGUGUUUUGGAAACCUGGUAUCCUUAUAAAUUUAUUGAAGAUGGAUUGAAAAGCAAGGAAAGAAGAAAAAAAAAUAUUAUUUAGAGGCAAUAUUCUUAGCUGGUGAUGCCAUUCCUAGCCCAGCUAACGAGGGAAUUACACUGUCCUUAGGUUUCUGACAUGUGUUGCUCUUGUGUUUUGCUCAUACAUAUGUAAACUUAGCAAAUAGCGCAGAAAUUUCAGUGGAAGCUGUAACAACUCUGCAGUGCUUCUUGGACUGGUUCAAGGCUUCUCAGCAGAGCAGACAAAAUUGUAUUUUCUGAUCCAAGCCUGAGGGCUGGAAGCACAAGUGGGACAGCGGGUAGGUCUGAAAAACUGGGUCAUGGACUCACACUCCCUGGGGAGGCUGGAGGGAGCCGGGAGGCUGUGACUGCUCUCCAGCGUCAGAGAAACCUGUGUUUGUCCACUUCAUUUGGGCCAGGAGCCGCCCUUUUGUAAGUAGGUGAGAACAAUCUGUCCACCAUUAAAGUUCAGUCUUGAUUGCUAUUAUCUGCAGGGUGACUGAAGUCAGGCAGCUUCUGUAGAGAUGCUUGUCUUUUCCCAUUUUUUAGCAGCUGUAUCUGGUGUUUUGUUGUGUGUGCCCGGUCUCUGAACUGUUCCACCUAUUUUCAGCCUUUUUGAGUUGAAGCAUCUUUUCUUCAUAGUAUUUAUUGUCUUGCUGAGAUAGGGAACAUCCCUUAAGAGGUUUAGGAUGAUAGACGUGCAUGAUGGUAAAUCUUCCUGCUGCUGUGGAAUGGUAGUUGUGCAGUGGUGGAUGCUGGCUGAUAUGUAGUGUUGCUGCCCACAGCCAGGAAAAAGAACAUCCAGAAGGUAACAAAAACAUUCUUCUUUUCUCAAGUGGAUUUCACGAAGGUCUGAAAAUGAUCACUUUUUAAUGUUCUUCUACAUUGGACAUGUACUCUUCCCAGGGCUUGCAUUCAAAUUUUAAUUCUUGCAACAUAGUUAUAAGUGAAAAUGGUUAUUUCCAUACCUUCUAUCUCUGAGCAGGUGAAUAUGUUAGCCUCUUUAGGAAUAUUUUACAUAUUUUUCUCUUUCUGAAUCAUGUUUAUAAUGCACUUCAAUGAGCAAGGUUUCCCAGUGUUAGCUGCAUAGGGAUUUAUGCAGAAUUUAAGAUUUAAAUGUAUUUAUUUUAUUUUCCUCUUGUUGCUCUCAUGACUUGAUAUGUAAUGGCUCACAAAGGAGACCAGGUGCAAAGUGUCCAUAGACAGCAGGUGGCGUUUGGGCUCUCAAAUCCACAGGGAAAUGUUCUGUUAUCCCCUGUUAGCAUAAGAAGUUUCAUGGCUGAUGUAAAGUAACACAAAGGUUCAGAUGACAAUCAGAUUCACAGAUGCUGUUUCUAGAAAGACAAAUUGCAAAGGACUCUUGAAGAUGCUAAACUUGCAUAGUAGUUGUCUAUAAUGUGAUUUGGAAACUUUAGUGAAGAGAAUAGCAGAGCGAGCUAUUAAAAUUCAGUUUUACAGCCAACAGGAAAGGUAUCAUGAGCUGGCAUUUGAUUCUGCUCUCUUUUGUUCUUGUUUUGCUUAAUUAAAGAGCACAAAACUAACCUGAAAAUGUCUGUACAAGUACAACAUACAUCUAUUUCCAGGGUUUAUCUGCAGUAAUGUUAAGAUAGAAGAUUUUUUCUUUAUUAUUAUCUUUUUGCAGACGACUUUUAUCUAAUAAAUAUAAUGAAGGCAGCA